CUCCUGUCACAGCAUCACAAUGUGGGAACGCUCCCUUCUUCAAUACCUUAAUAAUUUACACCAGCAGAAAACUCUCACCUGUGGUCAAUUUAAGCCCCUUGAAAUUCCGACCUCUCCAGCUCAUAAACCAUUUCUCUGGAACGCUACCUAAAUGAGUCUCUAAAUAUGACCUUUACAUAUUUUCUUCAUAUAUACAAAUGACAGCCUGACUGCAGCAACUCUAUACAUAGAAAAAUCAAGCUCCAGAUUGGUCUUAGUGUGGAUCACCGGCCUCAGGCUAUGCUGCCCCUGCAAGUUUUUCACCUGCUUUUCACCCACAUUGUUCAGUUCCAUGAGGCAAACACCCUCAAUCCCAGUGCUCGAAUGAGAAUCCAGCAGAGUCCCUGCUUUCCUCCUGUGUUUACCAUAAAGUAGAAGAGAAAAAUUUCAAGACAGUUUAAGUGGAUUUUAAAACUGGCAGAUAAUUAUUCCUUUGAGAAAAUGAAGAAGCCAGCAAACUAUUAUUUCGA
rnacentral:lncRNA from 1 species